AAUCAUGAAGGUUGACGAGGAAGCCUCAGGCUGAAACAGAUUAUCACCUUAUCCAAGUGUCCCAUUAGGUGACAAUGGAAUGAGGCGCGUGCGCGAUUAGCCCCCGUGGAGUAUUUUAAUUCGGCUGUUUAGUUUAUUGCAGAUUCCCGGUCGGAAUAUUAUCGCUUUUCUACGAGAUAAAUGGCAUAAAAAUUGGUUUUAAACAGCGGUUGACAUGCUUCGAAGUACGGUAAUGGAAUAUUUAGACAUUUUUUGUCACGCCAUGCGCCAUGCGCGCGACCGUGGAUUACCAUUCGUAUAGUGUCUAGAACGCACGAACAAAACAACGCUAUUUGGAUAUAACUAUGGAUUAUUUGGGACCAAACCUACAUUUGUUAUUGAAGUAGAAGUCCUGGGCGUGUAUUCUGACGAAGAACAGGAAAGGACCUGAGCCCUAGGACCAUGCCUCAGGACUACCUGGUAUGAUGACUCCUUGCUGUCCCCAGUCCACCUGGCCGUGCUGCUGCUCCAGUUUCAACUGUUCUGCCUGCGGCUAUGGAACCCUGACCUGUUCACCGGACGUGCUUGUUGCACCCUCGACAACUACUAUGAUUAUUAUUAUUUGACCAUGCUGGUCAUUUAUGAACAUUUUAACAUUUUAACAUCUUGACCAUGUUCUGUUAUAAUAUCCACCCUGCACAGCCAGAAGAGGACUGGCCACCCCUCAUAGCCUGGUUCCUCUCUAGGUUUCUUCCUAGGUUUUUGGCCUUUCUAGGGAGUUUUUCCUAGGGAGUUUUUCCUAGCCACCGUGCUUCUUUCACAUGCUUUGCUUGCUGUUUGGGGUUUUAGGCUGGGUUUCUGUACAGCACUUUGAGAUAUCAGCUGAUGUACGAAGGGCUAUAUAAAUAAAUUUGAUUUGAUUUGAUUUUGAUAUGGCAGGCAAAAAACGGAGAAAAUUCCAAGCAGGAAUUGGCCUGUCUGAGAAUUUGUAGUUCUUCUUUUGGUUCUCUAUCAAAACUACAGUAUCUGUGGGGUUACAUAGCACUUUCUAAGGCUUCCACUGACUCUCUAAAGCCUUCAGAAAGUGGAUUGAGGCGUCUCCUGUCUCUGGGCAGAGUACAGUAGUUCAGUUUGUCAGUGGUCUGCCUGGUGACUAAGAAAUUGGAUAUGCGAGUUCACGCGACCUCGCUGUUUUUUUCUUUUCCUCUUUGAAUGAAAACACUAUAGUCCGGUUGGA
rnacentral:lncRNA from 1 species